rnacentral:rRNA from 1 species
UACAGAGGUCUCAAGCGUUGUUCGGAUUCAUUGGGCGUAAAGGGUGCGUAGGCGGCGCGGUAAGUCGGGUGUGAAAUCUCGGAGCUUAACUCCGAAACUGCAUUCGAUACUGCCGUGCUUGAGGACUGGAGAGGAGACUGGAAUUUACGGUGUAGCGGUGAAAUGCUUAGAUAUCGUCAAGAACACCGAUAGUGAAGACAGCUAACUA